rnacentral:rRNA from 1 species
AGGACGAACGCUUGCGACGUGCCUAAGAAAUGCAAGUCGAACGGAAUUACCUUCGGGUAGUUUAGUGGCGAACGGUCGCGUAACACGUAGGCAACCUGCCCUGAAGCGGGGGACAACAACUCGAAAGAGUUGCUAAUACCGCAUGUGUAUCGGAAUGGCAUCAUUCAGGAUACAAAGGACUUCGGUUCACUUCAGGAUGGGCCUGCGGCCUAUCAGCUAGUUGGUAAGGUAAUGGCUUACCAAGGCUUCGACGGGUAGCUGGUCUGAGAGGACGAUCAGCCGGAUUGGGACUGAGAUACGGCCCAGACUCCUACGGGGGGCAGCAAUUAGGAAUCUUGCGCAAUGGGCGAAAGCCUGACGCAGCGACGUCGCGUGAAGGAUGAAAUCUUUCGGGAUGUAAACUUCUUUUACCAGGGAAGAAACAAUGACGGUACCUGGUGAAUAAGCCCCGGCUAACUACGUGCCAGCAGCCGC